rnacentral:rRNA from 1 species
UACGUAGGGUGCAAGCGUUGCCCGGAUUUAUUGGGCGUAAAGGGCGCGCAGGCGGCCGAGCACGUCCGUUGUGAAAUCGCCUGGCUCAACUGGGCGGGGUCAGCGGAUACGGCUAGGCUGGAGCAAGCUAGGGGGUAAUGGAAUUCCCGGUGUAGUGGUGGAAUGCGUAGAUAUCGGGAGGAACACCAGUGGCGAAGGCGGUUACCUGGAGCUUUGCUGACGCUGAUGCGCGAAAGCGUGGGGAGCGAUCCGG